CGGCGUGCUUAACACAUGCAAGUCGAGCGGGGAUCAUGGAAGUGCUUGCACAGAAGUGAUUCUAGCGGCGGACGGGUGAGUAACGCGUGAGCAAUCUGUCCUACACAGGGGGAUAACACUUGGAAACAGGUGCUAAUACCGCAUAAGACCACGGAGUCGCAUGGCUCAGAGGUAAAAGAUUUAUCGGUGUAGGGUGAGCUCGCGUCCCAUUAACUAGUUGGUGAGGUAACGGCCCACCAAGGCGACGAUGGGUAGCCGACCUGAGAGGGUGAUCGGCCACAUUGGAACUGAGACACGGUCCAGACUCCUACGGGAGGCAGCAGUGGGGAAUAUUGGGCAAUGGGCGCAAGCCUGACCCAGCAACGCCGCGUGAAGGAAGAAGGUUUUCGGAUUGUAAACUUCUGUCCUAAGUGACGAAACAAAUGACGGUAGCUUAGGAGGAAGCCCCGGCUAACUACGUGCCAGCAGCCGCGGUAAUACGUAGGGGGCGAGCGUUUGUCCGGAAUGACUGGGCGUAAAAGGGCGUGUAGGCGGCUCUUUUAAGUGUGAAGUGAAAAGUCCUGCUUUCAAGGUGGGAACUGCUUUGCAAACUGGAGAGCUUGAGUGCGGAAGAGGUAAGUGGAAUUCCCAGUGUAGCGGUGAAAUGCGUAGAGAUUGGGAGGAACACCAGUGGCGAAGGCGACUUACUGGGCCGCAACUGACGCUGAGGCGCGAAAGCGUGGGGAGCGAACAGGAUUAGAUACCCUGGUAGUCCACGCUGUAAACGAUGAAUGCUAGGUGUAGCGGGUAUCGACCCCUGCUGUGCCGCAGUAAACACAAUAAGCAUUCCGCCUGGGGAGUACGGCCGCAAGGUUGAAACUCAAAGGAAUUGACGGGGGCCCGCACAAGCAGUGGAGUAUGUGGUUUAAUUCGAAGCAACGCGAAGAACCUUACCUGGUCUUGACAUCCCGAUGACCGGCAUAGAGAUAUGCCUUCCCUUCGGGGCAGCGGUGACAGGUGGUGCAUGGUUGUCGUCAGCUCGUGUCGUGAGAUGUUGGGUUAAGUCCCGCAACGAGCGCAACCCUUAUUGUUAGUUGAUACAUUUAGUUGAUCACUCUAGCGAGACUGCCGUUGACAAAACGGAGGAAGGUGGGGACGACGUCAAAUCAUCAUGCCCCUUAUGACCAGGGCUACACACGUACUACAAUGGCAGACAUACAGAGGGAAGCAAAGGUGUGAGCCGGAGCAAAUCCCUAAAAGCUGUCCCAGUUCAGAUUGCAGGCUGCAACUCGCCUGCAUGAAGUCGGAAUUGCUAGUAAUCGCGGAUCAGCAUGCCGCGGUGAAUACGUUCCCGGGCCUU
rnacentral:rRNA from 1 species